AUACUUACCUGGCAGAGGAGAUACCAAGAUCACGAAGGUGGUUUUCCCAGGGCGAGGCUUGUUCAUUGCACUCCAGAUGUGUUGACCCCUGCGGUUUCCCCAAAUGUGGGAGGCUCCACUGCAUAGUUUGUAGUGGUGGGGCACUGCUCCCGCUCUCCCCUG
ensembl:snRNA U1 U1 spliceosomal RNA